CUACGGGCUGCUGCAGUGAGGAAUAUUGCACAAUGGGGGGAACCCUGAUGCAGCAACGCCGCGUGGAGGAUGACGCAUUUCGGUGUGUAAACUCCUUUUAUAUGUCAAGAAAAUGACGGUAGCAUAUGAAUAAGCACCGGCUAACUCCGUGCCAGCAGCCGCGGUAGUACGGAGGGUGCAAGCGUUAUUCGGAAUCACUGGGCGUAAAGGACGCGUAGGCGGGUUGGAAAGUCAGGUGUGAAAUCCUACAGCUUAACUGUAGAACUGCACUUGAAACUUCUAAUCUAGAGUAUGGGAGGGGGAGAUGGAAUUAGUGGUGUAGGGGUAAAAUCCGUAGAUAUCACUAGGAAUACCUAAAGCGAAGGCGAUCUCCUGGAACAUUACUGACGCUAAGGCGUGAAAGCGUGGGGAGCAAACAGGAUUAGAUACCCUCGUAGUC
rnacentral:rRNA from 1 species